CCUACGGGAGGCUGCAGUGGGGAAUAUUGGACAAUGGGGGGAACCCUGAUCCAGCCAUGCCGCGUGUGUGAAGAAGGCCCUCGGGUGGUAAAGCACUUUCAGUGAGGAAGAACGCCUGGUGGUUAAUACCCAUCAGGAAAGACAUCACUCACAGAAGAAGCACCGGCUAACUCCGUGCCAGCAGCCGCGGUAAUACGGAGGGUGCGAGCGUUAAUCGGAAUUACUGGGCGUAAAGCGCGCGUAGGUGGCUUGAUAAGCCGGUUGUGAAAGCCCCGGGCUCAACCUGGGAACGGCAUCCGGAACUGUCAAGCUAGAGUGCAGGAGAGGAAGGUAGAAUUCCCGGUGUAGCGGUGAAAUGCGUAGAGAUCGGGAGGAAUACCAGUGGCGAAGGCGGCCUUCUGGACUGACACUGACACUGAGGUGCGAAAGCGUGGGUAGCAAACAGGAUUAGCUACCCGUGUAGUC
rnacentral:rRNA from 1 species